UCAGACAUGGUCUAGUGUCAAUGGGAACAUACUUGCUAUCACUCAGUCCUCUAUUAUCAGAGGCAAUCCAGGGUUCGAACCCCUGUGUCUGAA